ACUCCUACGGGAGGCAGCAGUGAGGAAUAUUGGGCAAUGGGGGAAGCCCUGACCAGCAAUGCCGCGCUGCGGAGGGACGCCCUUCGGGGCUGGUAAAACCGCUUUUAUGCGGGAGGAGCAAGGACCGUACCGCAUGAAGAAGUCACGGCUAACUACGUGCCAGCAGCCGCGGUAAUACGUAGGUGGCGAACGUUAUCCGGAGUUACUGGGCGUAAAGGGUCCGCAGGCGGGCCGCUAAGUCUGACGUGAAAUCUCCUGGCUCAACUGGGAGGGGACGUUGGAGACUGGCGGUCUAGCAUCCCGCAGAGGUCGGUGGAAUUCCCGGUGUAGUGGUGGAAUGCGUAGAGAUCGGGAGGAACCUCGAAAGCGAAGGCAGCCGGCUAGGCGCGGAUGGACGCUGAGGGACGAAAGCGUGGGGAGCGAACAGGAUUAGAUACCCUGGUAGCUACGAG
rnacentral:rRNA from 1 species